AGUGGCGGACUGGUGAGUAACACGUGGGUGACCUACCCUUGAGAUGGGGAUAGCCAUUAGAAAUAGUGGAUAAUACCGAAUACGCUCAUGACCCUGUGGGGAUAUGAGGAAACAGGCUACGGCCUGGCUCGAGGAUGGGCCCGCGUCCCAUUAGCUAGUUGGUGAGGUAAAAGCCCACCAAGGCGACGAUGGGUAUCCGGCCUGAGAGGGUGUACGGACACAUUGGGACUGAGAUACGGCCCAAACUCCUACGGGAGGCAGCAGCUAAGAAUAUUCCGCAAUGGACGAAAGUCUGACGGAGCGACGCCGCGUGGAUGACGAAGGCCGAAAGGUUGUAAAGUCCUUUUGCUGAUGAAGAAUAAGCGUGGUAGGGAAUGACCGCGUGAUGACAUUAGUCGGUGAAUAAGCCCCGGCUAACUACGUGCCAGCAGCCGCGGUAACACGUAGGGGGCAAGCGUUGUUCGGAAUUAUUGGGCGUAAAGGGCAUGUAGGCGGUUUGGUAAGCCUGAUGUGAAAUCCUGCAGCUUAACUGUAGAACUGCAUUGGGUACUGCCGAACUUGAAUCACUGAGGGGAAACUAGAAUUCCAGGUGUAGGGGUGGAAUCUGUAGAUAUCUGGAAGAAUACCGGUGGCGAAGGCGGGUUUCUAGCAGAUGAUUGACGCUGAGGUGCGAAAGUGCGGGGAGCGAACAGGAUUAGAUACCCUGGUAGUCCGCACCGUAAACGAUGUACACUAGGUGUCGGGGCAUGAGUCUCGGUGCCAAAGCUAACGUAAUAAGUGUACCGCCUGGGAAGUAUGCCCGCAAGGGUGAAACUCAAAGGAAUUGACGGGGGCCCGCACAAGCGGUGGAGCAUGUGGUUUAAUUCGAUGAUACGCGAGGAACCUU
rnacentral:rRNA from 1 species